rnacentral:rRNA from 1 species
AACCAAUAUAAUUGGUGACUCAUAAUAACUUUACGGAUCACAAUUAAUGUGACAUAUCAUUCAAGUUUCUGACCUAUCAGCUUUAGACGGUAGGGUAUUGGCCUACCGUGGCAAUACGGGUAACGGGAAUUAGGGUUCGAUUCCGGAGAGGGAGCCUGAGAAACGGCUACCACAUCUAAGGAAGGCAGCAGGCGCGCAAAUUACCCAAUCCUAAUACAGGGAGGUAGUGACAAGAAAUAACAAUACAGGACUUUUUGGUUUUGUAAUUGGAAUGAGUUAAGUAUAAACCCCUUUACAAGUAUCAAUUGGAGGGCAAGUCUGGUGCCAGCAGCCGCGGUAAUUCCAGCUCCAAUAGCGUAUAUUAAAGUUGUUGCAGUUAAAAAGCUCGUAGUUGGAUUUCUGUUAAUAAUUUAUAUAAAAUAUUUUGAUGAAUAUUUAUAUAAUAUUAACAUAAUUCAUAUUACUAUUUUUUUUUUUAGAAUAUGAAAUUUUACUUUGAAAAAAUUAGGGUGCUUAAAGCAGGAAUAUGCCUUGAAUACUCCAGCAUGGAAUAAUAUUAAAGAUUUUUAUCUUUUUUAUUGGUUCUAAAAUAAAAAUAAUGAUUAAUAGGGACAGUUGGGGGCAUUUGUUUUUAACAGUCAGAGGUGAAAUUCUUAUAUUUGUUAAAGACAAACUAAUGCGAAAGCUUUUGCCAAGGAUGUUUUCAUUAAUCAAGAACAAAAGUUAGGGGAUCGAAGACGAUCAAAUACCGUCGUAUUCUUAACCAUAAACUAUGCCAACUAAAGAUUGGAGGUUGGUCCU